UACGUAGGGUCCGAGCGUUGUCCGGAAUUACUGGGCGUAAAGAGCUCGUAGGUGGUUUGUCGCGUUGUUCGUGAAAACUCACAGCUCAACUGUGGGCGUGCGGGCGAUACGGGCAGACUUGAGUACUGCAGGGGAGACUGGAAUUCCUGGUGUAGCGGUGGAAUGCGCAGAUAUCAGGAGGAACACCGGUGGCGAAGGCGGGUCUCUGGGCAGUAACUGACGCUGAGGAGCGAAAGCGUGGGGAGCGAACGGG
rnacentral:rRNA from 1 species